rnacentral:rRNA from 1 species
AGAGUUUGAUCAUGGCUCAGGAUGAACGCUGGCGGCGUGCCUAAUACAUGCAAGUCGAGCGAACGGAUAAGGAGCUUGCUCCUUUGAAGUUAGCGGCGGACGGGUGAGUAACACGUGGGUAACCUACCUAUAAGACUGGAAUAACUUCGGGAAACCGGAGCUAAUGCCGGAUAACAUUUGGAACCGCAUGGUUCUAAAGUAAAAGAUGGUUUUGCUAUCACUUAUAGAUGGACCCGCGCCGUAUUAGCUAGUUGGUAAGGUAACGGCUUACCAAGGCAACGAUACGUAGCCGACCUGAGGGGGUGAUCGGCCACACUGGAACUGAGACACGGUCCAGACUCCUACGGGAGGCAGCAGUAGGGAAUCUUCCGCAAUGGACGAAAGUCUGACGGAGCAACGCCGCGUGAGUGAUGAAGGUUUUCGGAUCGUAAAACUCUGUUAUUAGGGGAGAACAAAUGUGUAAGUAACUGUGCACAUCUUGACGGUACCUAAUCAGAAAGCCACGGCUAACUACGUGCCAGCAGCCGCGGUAAUACGUAGGUGGCAAGCGUUAUCCGGAAUUAUUGGGCGUAAAGCGCGCGUAGGCGGUUUCUUAAGUCUGAUGUGAAAGCCCACGGCUCAACCGUGGAGGGUCAUUGGAAACUGGGAAACUUGAGUACAGAAGAGGAAAGUGGAAUUCCAUGUGUAGCGGUGAAAUGCGCAGAGAUAUGGAGGAACACCAGUGGCGAAGGCGACUUUCUGGUCUGUAACUGACGCUGAUGUGCGAAAGCGUGGGGAUCAAACAGGAUUAGAUACCCUGGUAGUCC